GACAGAGGGUGCAAGCGUUGUUCGGAAUUACUGGGCGUAAAGCGUGUGUAGGCGGCCAUAUAAGUCGGAUGUGAAAGCCCUGGGCUCAACCCAGGAAGUGCACUCGAUACUGUAUGGCUUGAGUACUGGAGAGGUUGGUGGAAUUCUCGGUGUAGAGGUGAAAUUCGUAGAUAUCGAGAGGAACACCGGUGGCGAAGGCGGCCAACUGGACAGAUACUGACGCUGAGGCACGAAAGCGUGGGGAGCAAACAGG
rnacentral:rRNA from 1 species